rnacentral:rRNA from 1 species
CACGUAGGCGGAUCAGAAAGUUGGGGGUGAAAUCCCGGGGCUCAACCCCGGAACGGCCUCCAAAACUCCUGGUCUUGAGUUCGAGAGAGGUGAGUGGAAUUCCGAGUGUAGAGGUGAAAUUCGUAGAUAUUCGGAGGAACACCAGUGGCGAAGGCGGCUCACUGGCUCGAUACUGACGCUGAGGUGCGAAAGUGUGGGGAGCAAACA